rnacentral:rRNA from 1 species
AGAGCAUUAGAUGGAUACCUAGAUAUUUAUUACAUUAAGGACGUUUUUAAUGAAAUUUAUAAUGAAAGUAUUUAUGAUUUAUAAAGAUCCUAAGAGAAAACUUUUUCUGAAUGAAAAUAAAAAAUUUAGUGAACUGAAACAUCUAAGUAACUAAAGAAUAAAAAUCAAACGAUAUUCUGUAAGUAGUGGCGAACGAACAUGGAAAUGGGUUAUAGAUUUGAUAAAAUUAUAUAAAUAUAAAUUUAUAUAAAUGGUAUUAUAUUCCAGUGUAUUUUAAUUUUAUCAAAUAAUUGAGUAGAACGAAAUAGGUGUAAUUCUGUUUGAAGAUAAGGGAACCAUCCUUUAAGCCUAAAUAUAAUAAAUAAUCGAUAGUGAACUAGUACUGCGAAGGAAAGGUGAAAUAGAACUUACGAAAUUGAAAAGAUCUUGAAAUCUAAUGCUUAUAUCAAUUGAAGCUUCAAAAGAAGUGACAAUGUACCUUUUGUAUAAUGGACCAGUAAGUUUAUUUAUAUAGCAAGUUUAAAUCAAAAGAUGUAGACUUAGUAAAAGCGAAUUUGAAUAGAAUUUAUAAGUUAUAUAAAUAAGACCCGAAACCAAGUGAUCUAAUUAUGAAUAAGUUGACAAAAUAUUAAUUUAUUUUUGAGGACUGAACCCGUGUCUGUUGCAUAAGAUUGGGAUGAUUUGUGAUUAGGGGUGAAAGGCUAAUCAAACUUGGAGAUAGCUGGUUUUCUGUGAAAUCUAUUUACGUAAAGUGUUAAAAUUAAUAUUUUGUGGUAGAGAUAUCGAUAAAAGAGGGUUGCCCAUAAAGCUUUACCAAUUUUAAGGAAACUUCGAAUACAAAAUAUUAUUUUGAUAAUCGGACUUAUAAUGCUAAGGUUGUAGGUCGAGAGGGAAACAGCCCAGAUUGUUUAUUAAGGUCUUUAAAUUAUAAAUUUUCUCAUAAGAAAUGAAUUUUUAAAUUGUGAUAACUAAGAGUUAGGUUCAGAAGCAGCCAUUCUUUAAAGAAAGCGUAAAAGCUCAUUGGUUUAAUUUAAAAAUUCGGACGAUGUAGGGAGAUUUGAAGAAAUAUACCGAAAUAGCAAAUUUAAAUAAAUAAGUUUAAAUGGUAACAGAACGUUCUGUAUGCAAAAAGAUAAAUUGAAAAAUUUAUUAGUGUAUCAGAAGUGAUAAUACUGGUAUGAGUAAUCUAAAUAAUAUAAAAUAGGUAAUUAAUUAUUAUCGUCGAAAAUUUAAGGUUUUUAAUUUAUAAUUGUUAAACAAAAUUAAGUAAUGCGGUCUCUAAAAAUUAGGUGAAAACUGAUUUUGAUGAGUAUUAUUGAAAAGGACUUAAACAAUUAAAGGAUAUACUUUAAUUAAAUUUAAUUCAAAAAACUUUUUUAUAAAACCGUACUAAAAACCAACACAGGUAAAUGGGUAGAGUAUACUAAGACGAUAAAGUGAAUCAUAGUGAAGGAACUCGGCAAAUUAACCUUGUAACUUCGGAAGAAAAGGUUUUUAUUAAGUAUAUUACUUAAUAAAAUAAUAUAAAAGGGGGUAGCGACUGUUUAAUAAAAACACAGGACUUUGCUAAAUCGUAAGAUGAUGUAUAAGGUCUGACACCUGCCAGGAACUGUGUAGUUAAAAUUAAAGAUAAUUAUUUUUAAUAUAAGCAGCAGUAAUCGGCGGCCAUAACUCUGAUGGUCCUAAGGUAGCGAAAUUCCUUGUCAACUAAUUAUUGACGUGCAUGAAUGGUGUAACGACUUCCCCACUGUCUCCACUAUGAGCUUUGUGAAAUUGAAAUAUUCGUGAAGAUGCGAAUUAUAUAUGGUUAGACGGUAAGACCCCGUGCACCUUUACUACAAUUUUUUAUUGAUUAUUUUUAUAAAAUUGUGUAGAAUAAGUGGGAGUUUAAAUUUAGUUUUAAACAACAAUGAAAUACCACUCGUUUUAUGAUUAAUAACUAACUUUAAAAAAAAAUUUAAAGGACAUAUAUAAGAUUGGUAGUUUAACUGGGGUGGUUUUCUCCAAAAAGGUAACGGAGAAAUAUAAAGGUAAAUUAAUAAUUAUUGUUGUAAUAAUUAUUUAUGUAUAAUGGCUAAAAUUUGCUUGACUGUAAGAUUGACAAAUCAAACAGAAACGAAAGUUGAUCAUAAUGACCCGGUAAUUCUUUAUGGAAAGGUUAUCGAUCAAUGGAUAAAAGGUACGCCGGGGAUAACAGGCUGAUCGCAUCCAAGAGUUCACAUCG